CCUACGGGAGGCAGCAGUGAGGAAUAUUGGUCAAUGGGCGCGAGCCUGAACCAGCCAAGUCGCGUGAGGGAAGACGGUCCUAUGGAUUGUAAACCUCUUUUGUCGGGGAGCAAAAGACGCCACGCGUGGCGUUCCGAGAGUACCCGAAGAAAAAGCAUCGGCUAACUCCGUGCCAGCAGCCGCGGUAGUACGGAGGAUGCGAGCGUUAUCCGGAUUUAUGGGGUUUAAAGGGUGCGCAGGCGGAAGAUCAAGUCAGCGGUAAAAUUGAGCGGCUCACCCUCUUCGAGCCGUUGAAACUGGUUUUCUUGCGUGCGCGUGACGUCUGCGGACUGCGUGGUGUAGCGG
rnacentral:rRNA from 1 species